rnacentral:rRNA from 1 species
UACAGAGGUCUCGAGCGUUGUUCGGAUUCAUUGGGCGUAAAGGGCGCGUAGGCGGCGGGGUAAGUCGGGUGUGAAAUCUCGGAGCUUAACUCCGAAACUGCAUUCGAUACUGCCGUGCUUGAGGACUGGAGAGGAGACUGGAAUUUACGGUGUAGCGGUGAAAUGCGUAGAUAUCGUAAGGAAGACCAGUGGCGAAGGCGGGGUCUCUGGACAGUUCCUGACGCUGAGGCACGAAGGUCAGGGGAGCAAACGGG